GAUGAACGCUAGCUACAGGCUUAACACAUGCAAGUCGAGGGGCAGCAUUUCAGUUUGCUUGCAAACUGGAGAUGGCGACCGGCGCACGGGUGAGUAACACGUAUCCAACCUGCCGAUAACUCGGGGAUAGCCUUUCGAAAGAAAGAUUAAUACCCGAUGGUAUAAUCAGACCGCAUGGUCUUGUUAUUAAAGAAUUUCGGUUAUCGAUGGGGAUGCGUUCCAUUAGGCAGUUGGUGAGGUAACGGCUCACCAAACCUUCGAUGGAUAGGGGUUCUGAGAGGAAGGUCCCCCACAUUGGAACUGAGACACGGUCCAAACUCCUACGGGAGGCAGCAGUGAGGAAUAUUGGUCAAUGGGCGCAGGCCUGAACCAGCCAAGUAGCGUGAAGGAUGACUGCCCUAUGGGUUGUAAACUUCUUUUAUAUGGGAAUAAAGUUUUCCACGUGUGGAAUUUUGUAUGUACCAUAUGAAUAAGGAUCGGCUAACUCCGUGCCAGCAGCCGCGGUAAUACGGAGGAUCCGAGCGUUAUCCGGAUUUAUUGGGUUUAAAGGGAGCGUAGGUGGACAGUUAAGUCAGUUGUGAAAGUUUGCGGCUCAACCGUAAAAUUGCAGUUGAUACUGGCUGUCUUGAGUACAGUAGAGGUGGGCGGAAUUCGUGGUGUAGCGGUGAAAUGCUUAGAAAUCACGAAGAACUCCGAUUGCGAAGGCAGCUCACUGGACUGCAACUGACACUGAUGCUCGAAAGUGUGGGUAUCAAACAGGAUUAGAUACCCUGGUAGUCCACACAGUAAACGAUGAAUACUCGCUGUUUGCGAUAUACAGUAAGCGGCCAAGCGAAAGCAUUAAGUAUUCCACCUGGGGAGUACGCCGGCAACGGUGAAACUCAAAGGAAUUGACGGGGGCCCGCACAAGCGGAGGAACAUGUGGUUUAAUUCGAUGAUACGCGAGGAACCUUACCCGGGCUUAAAUUGCAUUUGAAUAUAUUGGAAACAGUAUAGCCGUAAGGUAAAUGUGAAGGUGCUGCAUGGUUGUCGUCAGCUCGUGCCGUGAGGUGUCGGCUUAAGUGCCAUAACGAGCGCAACCCUUAUCUUUAGUUACUAACAGGUCAUGCUGAGGACUCUAGAGAGACUGCCGUCGUAAGAUGUGAGGAAGGUGGGGAUGACGUCAAAUCAGCACGGCCCUUACGUCCGGGGCUACACACGUGUUACAAUGGGGGGUACAGAAGGCAGCUACCUGGUGACAGGAUGCUAAUCCCAAAAGCCUCUCUCAGUUCGGAUCGAAGUCUGCAACCCGACUUCGUGAAGCUGGAUUCGCUAGUAAUCGCGCAUCAGCCAUGGCGCGGUGAAUACGUUCCCGGGCCU
rnacentral:rRNA from 1 species